UGUUGUAGUGUAGACUGUACUAACCGACCGUCGAAGGAGUCUGUGUCGCAGUUUUUUCGAUUCAGCGUCCUGGAGACAUAAGAGGCGGAGGAGCUGUCCAGGGCGCCGCGGUGCUGAGACGCAGCUAAUGGGGUCGUGAUCGUAUCAGCAAGUGGGUGAGCAGGCUGGCAGCAGCCGGGAGUUGACCAUGACGGUUAAGAACCGCCGUGACUCCUCGGGCACGUUUGGAUGGCCUCAAGGUCGAGGGAGCGGGACAGGACAGAGGACAGACGGGCCUGUCGUGGAGGAUCAUGGGAAGAUGAAAAGCUGAGGGCAAGAGAUUUUACUGUAUGUAUGGAGACCUAUAUCUGUCUAUCUGUAAUAUCUAUGCUGCAUCUCAUAUCUUUGAAUGAACAUACACUGAUUGAUCGAUGGGGUGUAAUUGCCAAAGUCUUUCUCUGUUGCUAACCUCGAUAAACACUGUUGUACACUUCCAUCUGAGUUCUCCUCCGUGAACUUCCUUUAGUUCUGUUGUAGUAAAUUAUUACAGUUUAAAGAUUUUUCCCUUAAAUGUCAGAAAUGUGAAG